rnacentral:lncRNA from 1 species
GCAUCCUCAGUGUUAAUGAUACUCUGUUAUACUUGCAGGGAGAAGUCUAGCACCGCUGCCCUCUAAGAGGAUCCAGCCAGCAGCUAACUCGGACAGAUGCAGACACCCACAGCCAAAGGGUGGAUGGUGUUUGGGGAUUCUUCUGGAAGAACAGGGGGAUGGAUUGUAAGCCCUGAAGGGCCUAGGAACUCUACAGGAAGACCAGCAGAGUUAAUUAACCUGGACUCUUGGGGCUCUCAGAGUCUGAACCACCAACCGACAUACCCACAGGCUGAACCUAGGCCUCCCCACACAAAUCUAGCAGAUGUGCAGCUUGGUCUCCCAGUGGGUACCGAACAACUGGAAUAGUAGGAGCCAUCCCAACAGCUGUUACCUAUGCAGGGGAUCAAGUCCACACCCUUAUGCACACACCAGCUAAACACUCCGUGUCUGAGCUAUCCAGCCCCUUACUGUACUCUUGUCCCGGAGCACCUGAGGAUCUCGGUCACAGGAUGGCGGCCAUCCAGUAAUCAAUCCUCAAGGAAACCGAGGGACACUGCACUUUGAACCCUUUUUAAGUUGGGAUUGAGGCAUUUCUCGCUGUCAGACUGUCUUUGGGCCCUCCAACUGGCAUUUUCAAACUGUUGACACUCGACUACUUUACAAGAGAAAGCUUG